rnacentral:lncRNA from 1 species
CGCCGCUUCCCUUUGACGUCUUCAGGCGUAGCUUGAUUUCUGGGGUCGACGGCGCCACUCUUUUUAGCCGAUUCGGACGUCAGCACUUUUGUUUGUAGUGAAUUCUUUCCCGUAUCAACCAUGUUGGUGGGGAAGGGGUGCUGGUCGAUCUUCAUUGGCUUGGCUGAUUUUGUCGGCACUUCAAAUUUAAGUCUGCCCUGCUCGAUGGCCGACUGUAUCUGCUGCCUGAAG